GCACGUGGACAGCAUAUGAGAAGGAAGCUGAUUGGAUGAUAGGACGCAUGGACAGCAUAUGAGCAGGAAGCUGAUUGGAUGGUAGAAUGCAUGGACAGCAGCAUGGCAGCUGAGCCAGCCAAUGGGUGCCUGCUUUCUGUUGAAUUCUGUUAGGUCUCGGAUUGGUUUCAGUUAUGUCAGGUAGAGAUUAAAGGUAUAAAAAGGGUGUGAUUUCUACAAUAAACUGAUCUCCUUCAGCUGCAUGAGGGAGUCUGUGUCACUUUGUUCCCCACUGCUACAAAUGGCUGGCCCAAAUUGGGACCUAUAAGGUGGUGCAGGGUGUGCAGUCUGCUCCAGCUGCAACUCCCACUAGGUCAAGGAACGAGCCGGGAAGAGUCCAGAAAAGGAUCCAGGGAAGGAUCUGGGAAGAGUUCAGGAAGGAACACAGGAAUAUAAAAGCAUGCACACCUCACCUGGACGGUGAAUAGACCAGUGGAAGCAAAUACGGAAGGUGGAAUAUCCCUGGAACAAAGCAGGAGCUUGGGCCAGGUACGGUAGCUCCUACAUCAGCAAUCUGCUAAUAUGGCUGAUGUGAAACUAAGCCCCCUGCUGGACUGGGUGUCUAAUCACAUUAAACAUUUUCCCUGUAAUGGACCCCUUCAAUCAGAAACCUGGCAAGCGGUAGGACAGAGACUUUUCACUACAUCAGGGACAAUCACAGCAGCUAUUAAAGGAAGUCACACGAAUGUCAGCCAUUACACAGCUUCAGAAGCUGAUUCCCCUGAACCCUCAGCACCACCAGAACCCAUAGACGACCCCAAGAUUGACCCAAACCCUGCAGAAUUGCCUUAUCCUGAGAUUAACCCAAGCCCUGCAGAACUGCCUUACUCCGAUAAAAAUCCCUGCGUGGCUGGCCCCUCAGUGUGAAAUUCCCACAUCGCGAGGAGGCAGCGGGCUCACUCCCUGCCCAAAAGGGCAACACAGUAGUCCAGCGAUGGCAAAAAUGCUGGGAAGACACCAUGAAGGAGGGCAAAUUCGCAGUCGCUACAGCCUGCCCGGUAAUAUAUGUGCCAAACCAGCACGCAGCGUACCGAGAGCUAGACUAUAAAGUAAUUAAAGAAGUGGGGAUGCUACUAAAAGAAAGUGGCUUAUCCUCCCAUCACGCCCUAACCUACCUAUCAGUACCACAUACGUCCUCACUCCCCACAACUGGAAAAGCAUAAUGAAAAUUACCCCAACAGCAGCGCAGUUUGCAGUCUGGCUAACCGAUUACCGAGAGCUGUGUACAGCCCAAGUGCUGCAGGACAGAAAUUCACCAAUUGCCACUGCGCAGCUGAGCAGAGAGAAUGCUUCCGCAGUCCCUGCAGCACAGGCAGCCUACCCACAUGAUAUUUUACAGGAUCCAGCGGAGUCGUUCAUGCAGCUCCUGGACAGACUGCAUGCCACGCUCUCCCAACAAGUCAACAAUGAUGAGGCCAGAACUAUUCUGUGGCAGCAACUUGCUUUCAUAAACACGAAUGAAGAUUGUAGAAAAGCAGGGCUUGCUGUUCAUAAUCCACAUAUUUGUGAUCUUUGUGACACAUUUGCAGAUAUGGUCAGAGCAUGCCGAAAUGUGGGAACUGCUGCUUAUAACUAACUAACUCUCUGGCAGCAGCUUUAGCUGUGCACUUCUGGGCUCCGGACACACAUGUAGGGGUCAGAGCUGGCUGGCCCCAGGACAGGGAUCGGGGUGAGCAGGGCUCAGGACAGUCCUGGCAGGCAUGUUGGCAGUGCUCGGCUCGCUGCAGGUGGCCCGCAGCACCAGGAGCCCCCCAAGCAAGCCUCUGCUGCAGCCCUAUCCCCAUGGCAGCACAGCCACAGGCACAUCAGGGACUGCCAGCCCAUCAAGUACGGCAAUGUCACACACAAAGCAUGGCCCAGUGACAACAGCACAGCCGGCCCGGUGGCUGCCACCGGAACAUUUGUAUCGUACAUCCACCCAGAAGCAGCAGCCAGAGCACGGGGCCAGAGCACGGGGCCACUGGCAGCAGAAGCAGCUGAGCCGCACUCCUCUGAGGCACAAGGCUGCCAGCAGCAGGUGGGCGGCUCCCCCAGGGCAGGCACUGCCAUAGCACAGCUGUCACUGGGGGCCGGGCCAAGCAGUGGGGAUAUCACUGCCACAGCAGCUGAGUGACAGUUGGGAGCGAGGCUGUGAUUGGCUGGAGGGACACGUGGACAGCGUAUGAGCAGGAAGCUGAUUGGAUGAUAGGACGCAUGGACAGCAGCACUGCAGCUGAGCCAGCCAAUCGGUGCCGCCUUUCUGUUAAGUUCUCUUAGGUCUCAGAUUGGUUUCAGUUAUGUCAGGUAGAGAUUAAAGGUAUAAAAAGGGUGUGAUUUCUACAAUAAAUUGAUCUCUUUUGGAUACAUAAGGCGGUCCACGUAGUUUGUCCCCCAUUGCUACACCCAACAAACCCAAAUGGGUGAGCAUGUUACUCUGUGAAGUUUUUAGAGACAGCGUUUUCAAAGCCAAACACUAUUUCAGCCUUCAAAAAUGCACAAAAAAAGCACAAAAGCCCCCAUGACAAACUACAAGAAUGAAUGUUUGUCUGCAUCUCAACAAGCUCUUCUCAGUAUGGUCAAACCCAGCUAGCACAGAACAAACACCUUGCUUUGUGCAGGGUAUUAGACAGUCUCUAAGCAGAAUCUUUCAUGCCAUUUCUCCCAAAUCACCAAGGCUCCUAACUUUCCGUCAUGGGCUCUUCUAGAUUUUAAAACUCUUCUAAUUUCAAUUUUGAGAAUCAAAAGUAUCACUCAUAUCUAACAUAUAAAAAAUAAAGGACCCAGUGUUAUAA